rnacentral:rRNA from 1 species
UGGGGAAUAUUGCACAAUGGGCGCAAGCCUGAUGCAGCCAUGCCGCGUGUAUGAAGAAGGCCUUCGGGUUGUAAAGUACUUUCAGCGGGGAGGAAGGGAGUAAAGUUAAUACCUUUGCUCAUUGACGUUACCCGCAGAAGAAGCACCGGUUAACUCCGUGCCAGCAGCCGCGGUAAUACGGAGGGUGCAAGCGUUAAUCGGAAUUACUGGGCGUAAAGUGCACGCAGGCGGUUUGUUAAGUCAGGUGUGAAUUCCCCGGGUUCAACCUGGAAACUGCAUCUAAUACUGGUAAGCUUGAGUCUCGUAGAGGAGGGUAGGAUUCCAGGUGUAGCGGUGAAAUGCGUAGAGAUCUGGAGGAAUGCCGGUGGCGAAGGAGGCCCCCUGGACGAAGACUGACGCUCAGGUGCGACAGCGUGGGGAGCAAACAGG